rnacentral:rRNA from 1 species
AUUGAACGCUGGCGGCAGGCCUAACACAUGCAAGUCGAACGCGUGGCGGACGGGUGAGUAAUGUCUGGGAAAUUGCCUGAAGGAGGGGGAUAAAUACUGGAAACGGUAGCUAAUACCGCAAACCAUCGGAUGUGCCCAUAUGGGAUUCGCUAGUAGGUGGGGUAACGGCUAACCUAGGCGACGAUCCCUAGAGGGUCUGAGAGGAUGACCAGCCACCCUGGAACUGGGACACGGUCCAGACUCCUACGGAAGGCAGCAGUGGGGAAUAUUGCACAAUGGGCGCAAGCCUGAUGCAGCCAUGCCGCGUGUAUGAAGAAGGCCUUCGGGUUGUAAAGUACUUUCAGCGGGGAGGCGUUACCCGCAGAAGAAGCACCGGCUAACUCCGUGCCAGCAGCCGCGGUAAUAC